UACGUAGGGGGCAAGCGUUAUCCGGAUUUACUGGGUGUAAAGGGAGCGUAGACGGCGGUGCAAGCCAGAUGUGAAAGCCCGGGGCUCAACCCCGGACCUGCAUUUGAAACUGUUGGUCUUGAGUAUCGGAGAGGCAGGCGGAAUUCCUGGUGUAGCGGUGAAGUGCGUAGAUAUCAGGAGGAACACCAGUGGCGAAGGCGGCUUACUGGACUGUAACUGACGUUGAGGCUCGAAAGCGUGGGGAGCAAACAGG
rnacentral:rRNA from 1 species